UCACUCCCGUAGUACAUACACCAACAUUGGAACAUUGUAGAGAAGAUUAGCAUAGCCUCUGUGCAAGGAUGACUCACAAAUUUGUAAAGUUGCCAUAUUUUU
ensembl:snRNA U6 U6 spliceosomal RNA